AGAAGACUGUACACAGAAACAUAUGAACUAUGACUCUUUUCUAUAUGCCUGAGGUAAAUAGGUAGAAGGCUGUUUACAGGACUGAAUCAGGCAUGAUCUUGGUGAAUCUCCUUGCUGGCUGUUUGCUAAUAUUAUCUCAGACAUCCAUGGCCACUGUUUGCAUCUGGCUUCAAAGAGAUUAUUGAUGGAGGAUUUAUGGAAAGAUAAAUCUUCUAAGAAGAAUUUCACAGGAUGAGAAGGCUUGGAUGGGUUGUGAUCUUCAGUGGUGAAGAGCGGACACAUAUCAAUGAGACCACAGAUCUACUGAGGUACAAGCAUGAAAAAGGCUAGCUAGGCUGCUGCAUGGAGGAUAGCUGUAAUUUUCUUCAGACUGGUUGAGCAGUAAUGUCACAUGUGAACUGUGCCUUGCUGCGGGGAUCCAAAUACGGAUUGUACAGUUCCCCUCAUAGACCUGACUUAGUUCAGCAAUGGGAAAUUGGACAAGUCAAAUUAUUAUAUUACUUUCCACAGGCUCUCGGUCAAACAUGCCACGUCUCUGGUUCUGAACCAUCUAUGGCAGUGGCCCUGACCACAAAUAUCAUUUCACUAUAGUUCUGAGUGGCCUUUGCAGUGACCUGGCUGCUCUGUAGUAUUCAACAUCUGAGAAGCUGCAUCAUUUGCAGUUAGAACCUAGCCUGUAAUUAUUUUUUAAAAGCAAGAUGCACAUGAAUCUGCCUGGCCAAAAAAAAGAGGGGGCAUAAUUGGGUAGUCAGUGGGGACUUCAAUCAUUUGGCUGUGUGCUGGAGCUCUCUCUCAAUCAAAGGCAGAAGAAAUCUUUAUAUCUCAAUUUGCCUUAAUAGUUUUUCCUUCUUUGAAAGAUGGUAAAACCACUGGGGGUGGAGGGAUACUAUUGUUCUUGAUUUGAUGUUUGCCAACAGGGAGGAAUCGGUUGCUAGGUUGGAAAUGAUGGAAAUCUUGGAAGGUAGGAAGAGUAAUUACUACAUCUUAGAAAUUAUAAUAGAAGAAAAGAAAUAUGAGGAUAGUCUGAUGGAGUACACCGAUUAAGGGAAUGCAGAUCACCUUUGGAUUAAGAUGCUAUAGGAAAAAUUAAGACAGGAAGGAUAGAAGCUUAAAAAAAGUGAAAUUCUUAAGACACAAUGAGAAAUUAUUCCAGUGAGCAGGAAAUGAGGGAACUGUCUACCAAGAAUGAUGUGGAUACAUAAGGAACUCGCCUAUUGAAUUUAAUUUUAAAAAGAAAUAUACAGAAGAUGGAAGCAAGGUUAAGCAACAGAUAAUGAAUACAAAACUCUGGCACAUUUCUGUGCUAUAAAGCUCAGCUGAGGAAAGCUAAGGACAACAGAAAGGAUUUUAAAAGCUAUAUUGUAGAACAGAGAAGAAUCAAUGAAUGAAAUAAUUCUAAUAUACAGGAUUAAUGCGAUCAUAACUGAUGGAAGAGGGAAGGCAGAUCUACUCCAUUUUUAUUUGAUUUUGUUUUCUCUGCUAAAGAGAAUGCUCUUUGGUCUGGAAAGAACAGAACAAAAGUAGUUGAUAGAGAGGUGAUACAGAAGAUGAAUAGGCACAUCACGAGAAAGAACUAAGGUGCUAUUGGGCAAGAUAGGGUAAUCUGGCCAAGAUUAAUUGCAUCUUCAGGUGCUGAGAGAAUAUUCAGGUCUGUUUCACUGUUAGUCAAUAUUAAAAUGUUAUAAAGAAUAGGAGAGGUACUAUAGGACUGGCUCCAAAUUAAAAACAAAAGAGAGGAGAAUAACGGAGUGUGUAAACUUUAGGCCAAAUGAGGUUGACUUCAAUUCCUGGAAAAAUUCUAGAAUGUAUUAUUA